UCAGAAGCAGAUCAACUUCAAGGUGUUAGCUACUCUGUUUGCAGCCUUAGAAAGACAUCCUUGAUGUUUUAUUGUUCUGCCUUUGCUCAGAGCUGGAAACUGUCCCUGGGGAAAUGGCUCACCUUGAAAGAGAUGCUAUUGUAACAAAGGACCAAGACUAAAUUUGGUAGGCCAGGGAGAGUGGCAUCCCAUAGGAGGCCCCCAAAGGGAAUCUGCUGCAAAAUGGCCCUUCAGGAACCUGAUGAAACGCCUGGUCUAACAGAAGGAGGCAGAGAAAGUUAUGAAGAGGGGAUCCUGAAGAAUUUGCUCCUGGGCCGUGAAGAUGGGAAGCUGAGUCAGAGUGCAGUUCUUCACCCAAUCCCACAGCCACACAUGCCUGCUCACUCACGGGAUCUUCCCACUCUCCUUGGGAAGGCUUCCGAGCUGCUUGCUCAGGAUGUCCUGUGAUCGCAGCCUGACCUGUCAAAGCCAUGCGAAUGCCAUCUGUUCAGUUAUAUAACUUGAAAUCUGGGAAGAAUUCUCAACAUAGGAUUUGCUGCCCAAAUCGAAUCAUUUUCAGAAAGGAGAUUAAACAUUCUUUGCUGGGAAAAGGAGAAAUAACCAGACAAAUUAUCAUUUCACUGAGUAUAAACAAACCUUUGUCCAAAAUACACAAAUGAAAAUGACAAAUUUGCUUCACUAAUAUUUGCUUGCAUUAAAAAUAUACACAAGACUAUGGUUCAAUAUCUUAAGUGCAAAAUAAAUUCUUAAGUGGGAACAUGGAAUUAUUAAUUUAACCAAUCUUAAUUUUGUUUAGAUCAUUAGCCUGCAGUAUAAUGCCCCAAGCAGAAUUUGGGGUGAGGGGCUUGGUGGGGGAAGAGGAAGUGCUCAUUACUACAGACGUGACAAGAUUAUUAACACUACAGAAUGAUUUUUCUUUCAUGGGAGGGGAAGAUAUCUGGCCCACCAGCAGUCAGACAGAAACCCUGACUUGUGAUUUUAACAUUACCUUAUGUGACCCAUGGUCACCUUGUAUGACCAAAGAAAACCAUUUAUGAAAUAGCUGCCUGGAGUUAAGGAUUUAAAUGGUAACUUUGCAGACUAGGUUUUCUCUCGCCAUCUAAUUUGCUCGCCUUAACGCUUGUUUCUUUGCCCUUGUUCUUACUGGCCCUCGAGUAUGAUAUCCUGAGAAUUUAUGUUGAACAGCACUGAUUUUUUCACAUGGAGCUAGCACAUGUUUAUGACUAGUACAAGUUUAUGACUACAAAAAACAGAGAUUUUGUCAUCUUAAACUGAAUUUACUGGGAAUAAAAUCAGUCAAUACAGAAAAGUAUAACAAAGGAAAUAAAAAUCACCACAACUCCUACUACCUGAAGAUUAUAUGGUUAAAGUGUUUCAUAUAUUCUUCUGUAAUUUUUACACAUAUAUGUUUUCAAAUAAAAAUUAACCCUACCUAUAAACCAAACAAUAUUAUUUAACUAACAAGAGAAGAAUAAAUUAUAUUUGUGGUUGGCUAUAUAACAAAAAGAAUCCAGCCAUUCAGGGAAAAACAGGGUAAGACAAGGAAGGAAGCCAAAUAGAUGGACUGCAAUGGAAGUUCACCCAGAAUGAAUGAAUGAAUGAAUGAAUGAAUGAAUGAAUGAAUGAGGAGCUAUUUUACUGACUGUGGUCAGUCAGGGAACACCUAUUAGAAAAAGCAGCAUUUGGCCGGGCGCAGUGGCUCACGCCUGUAAU